UCUAGAACUCGAGUUAUGGGCUGAACACUGAACAAUGUCUGGGCUGCAGAACAGAUUCCAACUUCUCCAUUGUUGCUACCAUUUGAACUCGAAAAUGACACUUUUAAAUCUUGAACUCUUCAUGAAAGUUUUAGGCCUAUGUCUUAGCUUUUCAUA
rfam:Populus trichocarpa scaffold_11_contig_569, whole genome shotgun sequence.